GACGAACGCUGGCGGCGUGCUUAACACAUGCAAGUCGAACGAUGAACCCGGAGCUUGCUCCGGCGGAUUAGUGGCGAACGGGUGAGUAACACGUGAGUAACCUGCCCUUGACUCUGGGAUAACUGCUAGAAAUGGUAGCUAAUACCGGAUACGACCCUCGGUGGCAUCACCAGGGGGUGGAAAGAAUUUCGGUCAAGGAUGGACUCGCGGCCUAUCAGCUAGUUGGCGAGGUAACGGCUCACCAAGUCUACGAUCUUUAGGGGCUCUGAGAGGAGAAUCCCCCACACUGGCACUGAGAUACGGGCCAGACUCCUACGGGAGGCAGCAGUAGGGAAUAUUGGGCAAUGGGCGCAAGUCUGACCCAGCCACGCCGCGUGCAGGAAGAAGGCCCUCUGGGUUGUAAACUGCUUUUGACCGGGGAGAAAAGAUCCUUUGCGAAGGAAGUUGACGGUACCGGCAGAAUAAGCCACGGCUAACUACGUGCCAGCCGCCGCCGUAA
rnacentral:rRNA from 1 species